rnacentral:rRNA from 1 species
AUUGAACGCUGGCGGCAUGCCUUACACAUGCAAGUCGAACGGCAGCACGGGAGCAAUCCUGGUGGCGAGUGGCGAACGGGUGAGUAAAGUAUCGGAACGUGCCCAGUCGUGGGGGAUAACGUAGCGAAAGUUACGCUAAUACCGCAUACGAACUAUGGAUGAAAGCGGGGGAUCGCAAGACCUCGCGCGAUUGGAGAGGCCGAUACCAGAUUAGGUAGCUGGUGGGGUAAAGGCUCACCAAGCCGACGACCUGUAGCUGGUCUGAGAGGACGACCAGCCACACUGGGACUGAGACACGGCCCAGACUCCUACGGGAGGCAGCAGUGGGGAAUUUUGGACAAUGGGCGAAAGCCUGAUCCAGCCAUGCCGCGUGCAGGAUGAAGGCCUUCGGGUUGUAAACUGCUUUUGUACGGAACGAAAAGGUUUGGCCUAAUAAGCUGAGCUCAUGGCGGUACCGUAAGAAUAGGCACCGGCUAACUACGUGCCAGCAGCCGCGGUAA